UCCUGACCCGGAGUGGUAUAACAUGUUGUAGAAAAAUUUGAUCGAUUCUCUCUCUCUCUCUCUCUCCCUUAAAAAUAAUAAUUUCUCAGGGGUUUUUUUCUUAUAUGCUUAUGGUACCCGACGGAGGAAGUUGAAGCAUCCCGAGCUCUCGGAGAACAUGAUCUCCACUGACUCAUCAGAAAUCUGCUGUGUUACCCCCCUGAACUUUCCAUGCCCCUGGAAUGACCCUCCUCUGAUCAGAAUUAUCCCUCAACCAUCCUCCCUCCACCGAGCCCUCCCUCUCUGGACAAAACAAUUUUUUUUUUCCUGCCUGAUGCGAUUAGUCACACAUCUGGAAUCGAUUAGACACUUCCGGAGUACUUCCGGUAAGGUCAAAAGGUCAAGGCUAGAGUCAUCAAUCAAACUCGCAUUCUUGAGUGACACAAGCCAUAGUGUUAUUUUUUUGAUAUUCAUAGAUUUUAUCAGGCUCAUCUAACUUAUAUUUAUCGUGAUAUUUAUUAAGCCUCUGAAUUACUUUUUAGAGUGUAUGGAACUUGGCCUUCAAUUUGGAGAUGGUACUAGGGCUCACUCAAAAUAUUGCUGUAGCUUAGUUAUGCGGAAAACUUUGAGGUUGCCCUAAAGCACUAAAGCUCUAUCCAGAUCAGUCAAAUGUGGGAUGCUUGGAGCAGACACCAGCAGACUGUUCCAGCUAUAAAAAUGCUUUCCCACACUAUAAGAUUUUUUACCAAGAAGAACUGUUACAACAAAGGGAUAAUCAACCAAACACAAAUUUCCUUACUUUUUUAAUUUUGGUUUUAAGUUUACAGUAAAAUGUACAACAACAAA